rnacentral:rRNA from 1 species
GACGAACGCUGGCGGCGUGCCUAAUACAUGCAAGUAGAACGCUGAAGUCAGGUGCUUGCGCUUCUUGGAUGAGUUGCGAACGGGUGAUUAGCUCGUAGUUAACCUGCCUUGUAGCGGGGGAUAACUAUUGGAAACGAUAUCUAAUACCGCAUAACAUUGGAUGACACAUGUCAUUUAUUUUAAAUUGGCAAUUUCUUCACGACAAGAUGGACCUGCGUUGUAUUAGCUAGUAGGUGAGGGAAUGGCUAACCUAGCCGACGAUACAUAGCCGACCAGAGAGGGUACGAGGCCAAACUGGGAAUGGGACACGACCAAGAAUCCUACGGGAGGGAGACGUAGGGGAUCUUUGGCAAUGAGAGCAACGCUGACCGUGCAACGCUGCGUGAGUGACGAAGGUUUUCGGAUCGUAAAGCUCUGUUGUAAGUGAAGAACGGAUGUGAGAGUGGAACGUUAACACUGUGACGGUAGCUUACCAGAAAGGGACGGCUAACUACGUG